rnacentral:rRNA from 1 species
CCUACGGGUGGCACCAGUGGGGAAUAUUGCACAAUGGGCGCAAGCCUGAUGCAGCCAUGCCGCGUGUAUGAAGAAGGCCUUCGGGUUGUAAAGCACUUUCAGCGGGGAGGAAGGCGGUGAGGUUAAUAACCUCAUCGAUUGACGUUACCCGCAGAAGAAGCACCGGCUAACUCCGUGCCAGCAGCCGCGGUAAUACGGAGGGUGCAAGCGUUAAUCGGAAUUACUGGGCGUAAAGCGCACGCAGGCGGUCUGUCAAGUCGGAUGUGAAAUCCCCGGGCUCAACCUGGGAACUGCAUUCGAAACUGGCAGGCUAGAGUCUUGUAGAGGGGGGUAGAAUUCCAGGUGUAGCGGUGAAAUGCGUAGAGAUCUGGAGGAAUACCGGUGGCGAAGGCGGCUCUCUGGUCUGUAACUGACGCUGAGGCGCGAAAGCGUGGGGAGCAAACAGGAUUAGAUACCCCCGUAGUC